rnacentral:piRNA from 1 species
UGUCCGUGACUCUGCUGUACAGCUC